UACAGAGGUCGCAAGCGUUGUUCGGAUUCAUUGGGCGUAAAGGGUGCGUAGGUGGCGCCGUAAGUCGGGUGUGAAAUUUCGGGGCUUAACUCCGAAACUGCAUUCGAUACUGCGGUGCUUGAGGACUGGAGAGGAGACUGGAAUUCAUGGUGUAGCAGUGAAAUGCGUAGAGAUCAUGAGGAAGACCAGUGGCGAAGGCGGGUCUCUGGACAGUUCCUGACGCUGAGGAGCGAAAGUGUGGGGAGCGAACAGG
rnacentral:rRNA from 1 species